GAGAGCGAAAGUUCGUCAGACGAGGAGCAGGAUCAGCGCUGCCUGCCAGCCCGAUUUAAGAACUGGUCUGAUGACGAUAUAUUUGAGGAAGAAGCUAAGCGCGUGUUAAGGACAGCUAAGGAAAAGCGAUACGAGGAGUUGAACAAACUGAUUCAACAAAUAAGAAAUCAAAAAAAGAUCAAAGACUUUGUCAGUGUGCUCACAUCAUUUGAGGGUCUAAGACGUGCGUAUGAGAAAGCCCAACAUGGGACAUUAAAAGAAGAAAAUGAUAUCACGCCAAGGUUUUACGUCAAAAUUCUUGCUGAACUUGAUGAUUUUAUCAAUGAAGUGUGGGAUGACAAGGAAGGAAGG